UUUGUUAACUCGUACCUAUGAUGGUAGAAUGUGUUUGUCUUCGCAAGAUAACCAUAGAGUGACCAGGGCUUGCUCGCAUGUAAAACCGUUGUAAAGAUUCAACACAUACUAUGUAAAGGGAAAAAACUAUGGAUGUAGUCAAUGCAGAGAAAGCACCAAUGGAGAAUAAGAGUCGGGAGAAAGUUAAUAGACGGAACCGAAAACGGGAGAAGUAUGUGCCAUCCUCCGAGCCCCUGGAGCUUCCGUUCUGCCGGAUCUGUGGAAAGAGAGCCUCCGGGAUACACUUCGGAGUCUACAGCUGUGAAGCCUGCAAGGCAUUUUUUCGCCGAUGUCUCCAGCGAACUUCUCCCUAUAAGUGUGACAAAGGUGGGAACUGCAUUAUAGAUGAACAACAGAAAGGGUUAAAUUGCUCCGCAUGUCGUCUCAAAAAAUGCCAAGAGCUCGGGAUGUCCAAAGAAGGAAUUCGACAGGGGCGGUACACAGUCGCAGAGCGGACGAACGUGAUAAUGGAGGUGAAAAAAUUACACAAAAACGGCAUUUUACAACAGAAUCAGUGUCAAAACAGUGUGACGCCGGAACCAAACGGCAGACUUUCGGUUCUUUCAGAUUCCCUCUCACCUCCAGAUUCUUCAAUGAAUUUUUCGCCCGAUGUUUACCGGAAGGAUGAAGUCCCAUCCUGUUCGUCAUCCUUGUCGUGUUCUAACUCAUUAACUUCCGGUUCCCCCGGAAGUAUCAUUGAUUCAACUAAUAACCAUGCUUGUAUUCUUGAUAUAUCAGAAGAGAUCCUCACCAAACAGGCUGUGAAUCAAAGUACAAUCUCAAAGACAUCGCUACGUGCUACCGACUCCCAAUCAAAUCAGUCGGAAGCGCAUGCGCUUAGAGAGAACUUGAUGAAGGGUUACAGGGCGCUGAAACCUUUUGAAAGGUCUCUGAAUGACCAGGAAUUGGAAAAACUGUUUGAGGACGGUUAUGUAAGUGACAGCAUUAGCUCUUUAUAUUCUAAAUAAGUAAAGGAAACUGUAAAUUUAACCAGACGGUAUUGCACUGAACGGUAAUGUAAGCAGUUUGAUUGAUUUUUAUAAAUUAGACAAAUCAAGUUUAAUUGAAGUAAAAUGAAGUUAUUUCCAGUAAAUACAAUGAUAAACAAGUAAAUACAGCGAUAAACAACCACACAUAUACAUUCUAUAGUACUCGGUAUAUUUCUCAUUUUUGAAUUGAAUACAAAAAAAGAACAUGAAACAAUUUUAUUCUGCUUGAAAACUAAACCAUUACUACUAUUAAAUUAUUUCAAAUUAAACUACAUGUAAAUGUAACCUAAAUAUUUCAAUUAGAAAAAAUACGUAGAAAAGACUAAACUUUUUGGAAACCUGGAGUUUCUGCCGGCGGAUGAAUACAACGAAAUCUACGAGAAAACACAGGUGGACGUUGACGGACGGAUGAAACUACUGCAGGACGGACGGCGUGAUAUGGUCCAGAUUGUAAAGGAGUAUGUGCAAUUUACACACGGAAUUCCAAACUUCAAAACCUUAAGUCCAAAGGACCAGUCCACGCUUUUAAAAGCCUCCCGGUUCGAGUUUUUCGCCAUCCUUCAGUACCGGGCCCUGGACUCUGAGCGAGAAAUGAUGAUAAGUUACACGGGCCAGAGUUUCCACAGGUCCGAGAUCUGUCCUUACACACCUGUCGAGGUGUUCAGGGGAUGGUUCGAGUUUGCCAGGAGGGUCAAGGAGUGCGAUUUUUCUCAAGAGGAGCAUGCUUUGGUGCUCGCCAUCUCUCUUACAUUCCGAGGUAAUUUUACAGAUUAUCUAUAAUAGAUUAGACAGAAGUAGUGCCAUGUUUAUAUUAACUCAGUACGUCCAAAACAAUAUGGCAGUGAGUAAAAAAUACCUAUCUCGUAUGAUGCUAGUAUUGUAAUACUGUUAACAACAUACAAAAUACGAAGUCAAGUUGGACAAAAUUUAUAAAAUGUUGUGCAGAACUAGUAUUUCUAGUUUGAAUAGUCAAAGUAACAGAAAAUACCUUAAUAUUAUAUGACUAAAUAUGGAUAAUUUUUAUGAGUUUGCUACACUGAUGUUGUUUUUAAAGCUUAACGUUGGCGUAAAUACUAAUCGAGUUUGACAAUACAAAUAGUUGAAAAAAAAAUUACACUACAUAAAAGAACACUAUCGUUACUUUUCGGGAUGAACCAUUGACAACAAGGUUGACUAGAAAUCCCGAUAAGGAAACGUUAUUAAUUGAUUUUCUGUGUGCUUUAAAUUGAUAAAUAUUAUAACUUUGAUGUGGAUGCUACCUAAAAUGUACAUAUUAUUGGUUUGCGUCAUUUCUUUCUUUAAACAGAUAGGUGUUCCCUGGAAGAACCCGACAAAGUGGAGGAAAUUCAGACGAAGUUGAUUGAGUCGCUGGAAAAUCUCUUGAAGGAAACCCACGGACAAACUGGCGGAAGACGACUGGCCAAAAUUAUGGAUCUAUUUGUCCGUUUGAGGGCGCUGGGAGAGGAAUAUUACCAACUUUACAAAACCUUGUGCAAAGACAAACUGCUAACGAAAGUCAUUCCGGAAAUGCUACAAUUUUUGUUUGACGAAUAGUCUGCGAUUGUCAAAAUGCUGCGAUAUAUGUUAAUUUUUACAACAAAUGAAUCAAUAAGAUAAUAGUUAAAUUGUUAUAAACUGUUAUUGCAUUUUAUUGAUAUAAAUUUGUUGUUGAUUUUUU
rnacentral:misc_RNA from 1 species